UACAGAGGCCCCAAGCGUUAUCCGGAAUCACUGGGCGUAAAGGGUGUGUAGGCGGCCGCGUUAGUCUCUUGUUAAAGCCCCCGGCUCAACCGGGGAUCUGCGAGGGAAACGGCGCGGCUCCGAGGGUGCGAGAGGUGUACGGAACUCACGGUGUAGGGGUGAAAUCCGUUGAUAUCGUGGGGAACACCAAAUGCGAAGGCAGUACACUGGCGCACUCCUGACGCUGAGACACGAAAGCCAGGGUAUCGAAGCGG
rnacentral:misc_RNA from 1 species